rnacentral:ncRNA from 1 species
CAAAGGUUUGGUCCUGACCUUACUAUCAACUUUAACUUAACUUAUACAUGCAAGUAUCCGCAUCCCUGUGAGAAUGCCCUCAACCCUCCUGUGAGAAAAAGGAGCAGAUAUCAGGCACACUACUUCUAGCCCACAACAUCUUGCUAUGCCACACCCCCAAGGGAACUCAGCAGUAAUAAACAUUAAGCCAUAAGUGAAAACUUGACUUAGCUAAAGCUAAAAGAGUCGGUAAAAUUCGUGCCAGCCACCGCGGUUAUACGAAAGACUCCAGUUGAUAGAUGCGGUGUAAAGAGUGGUUAAGGAACACUACUAAUAAAGCCAAAUAUUCUCCAAGCUGUCAUACGCACUCUGAGAACACGAAGCCCAAACACGAAAGUAGCUUUAAAUCUACAACACCUGAACCCACGAAAGCCAAGAAACAAACUGGGAUUAGAUACCCCACUAUGCUUGGCCAUAAACUUAAAUUUUAAACUACACAUUUAUUCACCAGGGUACUACAAGCAUAGCUUAAAACCCAAAGGACUUGGCGGUGCCUCAGACCCACCUAGAGGAGCCUGUUCUAGAACCGAUAACCCCCGUUAAACCUCACCAUUUCUUGUUUAAACCGCCUAUAUACCGCCGUCGUCAGCUUACCCCGUAAGGGUAUAACAGUAAGCAAAAUAGCCAUACCCUAAAACGUCAGGUCGAGGUGUAGCGAAUGAAGUGGGAAGAAAUGGGCUACAUUUUCUACUUACAGAACAACACGAAAGAUAAUUUGAAACACUUUAUCUAAAGGUGGAUUUAGUAGUAAAAAGCAAACAGAGAGUGCUUUUGAAUUAGGCUCUGAAGCGCGCACACACCGCCCGUCACUCUCCCCACAACCACCUAAGCCAAUAAUUAAUAAAACAAAAUGUUAUACGGGGAGGCAAGUCGUAACAUGGUAAGUAUACCGGAAGGUGUACUUGGAAUAAC